rnacentral:rRNA from 1 species
CCUACGGGUGGCAGCAGUGGGGAAUAUUGCACAAUGGGGGAAACCCUGAUGCAGCGACGCCGCGUGAAGGAAGAAGUAUUUCGGUAUGUAAACUUCUAUCAGCAGGGAAGAAAAUGACGGUACCUGACUCAGAAGCCCCGGCUAACUACGUGCCAGCAGCCGCGGUAAUACAUAGGGGGCAAGCGUUAGCCGGAUGUACUGGGUGCAAAGGGAGCGUAGGCGGGGCAGCAAGUCAGAAGUGAAAGCCCGGGGCUCAACUCCGGGACUGCUUUUGAAACUGGUGAACUAGAGUGCAGGAGCGGUAGGUGGAAUUCCUGGUGUAGCGGUGAAAUGCGUAGAUAUUAGGAGGAACACCAGUGGCGAAGGC